rnacentral:lncRNA from 1 species
UGAAAUAUUAAGACGGAUAUUCGAAAAUAGAUGAAAUUAAUGAUUAUUCUAAUUUGUGACGUAAUCACGAUUCAAUAUGUCGGCCAUUAAUUUGUUUUCUCAUCAUCCAUCGAAAUUCGUUUAUGAUAUUUAGCUAGAUAUGUAAAAAAGCAUUGCGUAGCGAAUAAUUAUUUAUCAAAUAAACAAAUAUUAGUGAAAAAUAGUUUAACGUAUCAUGGUAAUGAGAUUUCUAUAAUUUCUAUUACUAUUCUUAUACGUUAAACGCUUCCUUUUCUUUCUGUAAUUGCGUAGUUCGAAUAUCCGUUAAUAUUUCUUAUUGUAAAAGUGAAUGUUUCCAAUGAAUAUUUCCAAGAACGCAAAUUACGCAAAGUUUACAUUUUUCUUUGUGCUAGAUCGAGCAGCUUGUAUAUAUUUUUAGAUUAUACUUAUAGGCAGUUCGUCUUUGUUGACGUUUUUUUCCCUGUUACGUUGGACGAUAUGAGGUUGCUCGCUAGUGCUACACAUACCUCAGUCUCCUUUUCUCUUUCGAACGUGUUCGAACGUGUUCUCGUAUUCUCCAUUUCGAGAUUAUUUUUCGAUCGCCGGACGAACAUUUUAAGAGACAGUUUGAUGGAUAUCGUUGCUCUUAAUCGACCUAUUUUUUCAAACUUAUAUCCCGGUAUUUCUGUGACGUUGAUUCUCGGUAGUGACGAGUUCGAGAAAAGCGGCGUGCCUUCGUAAAAUGCUUCGAUUCACCGUCACGACACAUUUUUCUGAUAAGUUGGUGGCUCGCAGGGAGGAUGCAUAGACAUAGGAUCGAAGGACGGAACGCAUCGGGAACAUGCAGCCAGGGAAAUGCUAGGCGGCACGAGGGAUAUCAUCCCUACGGAUCUAUCUUGGCCCACCGCAAAAGACAUGGUAGCUGGGACGAAGAUUAAACAUCGUGGAUGGAUGGAAGUGGAACGAAGAAGUGGCUCGAUUUGCGCGGACGACGAGGAUCGCUGCGCUUUUCAAUGAACGAAUACAACUCCUCCGCGUAAAUAUUUAUCGCGAAUAAUCCAAGCGUGUAGCCUUCUCUCUCUUCUCUCUCUCUCUCUCUCUCCCCACGUACUCUUCCUCUCUGACCCUGAGGGACAUUCUUGGCAUGACGCGUAAGAUCUAUCUUGACGAGAAACGAGAAGAGAGAGAGAGAGAGAGAGACACGGGUCUGAGAGAAAAGCUUAGGCUGGUGAGCCACGGGGUUUUGAGCACGAAGUUUACACAUUGUCAUUUGGGACACGGCGUAAACCGGAGGAGGAAGAGAGCGAGAAAGAAGGAGAGGCUUGCGGCCGAGGUCCGCGAGGAGGAAAGUUUGGAGUGGAAAGGGGGAGAAAGAUGGUGGCGUAAAGCGAGAGGGAGGAAGGGAGAAGGGAAGAAGGAAGAGGGAAAAGAGGGAGAAUUUUAGAGAGGGUUGAACGGGGAUAGAGAGAGAGAGAUGGAGAGGAGAGGGGGCGAUCCGAGUGGAGAGAGAAUGGCGGAGACGGAGAAAGGGUAAAACGGAGUCCUUGGUGGACCACUAGGAUCCAUCCCCACGUAGCUCCCGUCUUCCGUGCAGGGGUUACUCGGGUGGAAGGGAUAUUCAGGGGAAGAUUAGAGGGGUGGGGGUGCUAUAUAAGGCCGGCGCAAGGGGGGGAGAGCUCAGUUCGUCCAAGAGAAGCGUAUCGGUCACGUCGUUGCGACGAUCGUUCGACGAGAAUCUCACGGAGCACGGGACUCUUGUCUCCACGUACGCACACACCUACGCAUACAUGUAUGUACGCACGCACGCACGCACGUACGCACAUACAUGCACACACAUAUACACGUACGCACACACAUACACACGUACAUAUACGACGCCGUGCUUGUCGCCGCAAGAGAGGACGCAACAAGACGCAAGGACCACGCAAGGAUUCCAGGUGUUUUCGACCACGUUUCGGGAGCAAAACGUGCUGCGACGAGGAACGAGAAAGUAACCAAAAUUGUACGUGCACGAUGGGAGCAGAAGAAGAGAAAAAGGGGAACGCAAUUAUUAUCACCGGCUUCUUCUCUUCAUCAACGCGAUCACCGGCCACUGCCGCUCUCCAGUUCACACUUGAACGGCUUCGAAGCUUCAUCGAACGCUGCGAAUUUGCAAAUCUAGAAAACAGCUGGCACGAGCGAAGGUCACCGGCCAUGGAAUAUAAUUAGUCCGACACUUAUGGAACGUCAGGCCAGCUAUGGUUCGCAGUGGCCGCAACGAGGUAGACGAGGUAGUGGUCUAGGCACUUGGAGAUCGGCCUUUGCUCGACACGUGUGCCCAUGGACAACGUUAUUUCCUUCUCGAAUACUGGGUCCUUGGUCCGAAUCGUAUGCCACUCGCACCGCCAUAAAAGGAACGAUCGGGAAAUGGGCAGCUGAUGAUCAAUAUGAUCGGGGGGGGAAGGGAAAAAAAUAUUUCAAGAGUAAUCGGCUAUUUUUCAGAAGAAGCAGAAACUUCCUAGCGAACCUCCUCUCUCUCCUCCAUUAUGGUAUUAACUCGGGACUACACUCGGGAUGGAUCGAUCAUUCAAGGAAGCCUUGGACGAAUCUGUGGAUUUUCCAAAUAGGAGGCAACCGAUGGUGAGACUACGUGGUAAUUGCGACAGUUGUAAUUACCAGUGUAUUAACCGUUGCAAAUGUCGAAAGAGCCAACCUCGAGCCCGCAAGGUUUCCCCCGUAAAUAGGGGAAGAAGAUUGUCCAAUUAACUGUCUCGUUUAAUUGAAUCUUAUUUCCUUUUCACUUGGUCCAGUUUCAUUGGGGCUUCUGCGCUUUAUCGCGUGAGUCGAAUGUAAUGCACAGCGAGGUCGGAAGCUUGGCCGAAGAACAACCCACGACAAAAGAGGGAUCGAGUUGAACGUCGCGGGAUAUUUUUGGCCAUACUCCCGCCCACUCCAGCCUUCGACAGCUCGCAAAUUGUCGUCGUCGAGUGGCGCGUGAAUAUCGUGGAAACGGACUACCGUUCUACUCGUUUAAUGCCCGUUUAGGCGCGCAGGGUAUUCUUUCAAAUUUUUUUCAGACAAUUCGUUUUGCUGCCGGUGGAACGAGGAAGAGGAGCAAGGGAUGAAGAUGGAGGUGGGAGGGGGUGGGAGAGAGCUCGAGGAGAGAAAGGAGGAUAGGAAGGAGCAAUUCCUCGGGACGAGACGAGACGGGACGAGACGAGACGAGACGAGACGGAGGUGAAGGUAUUCUUUUUAAGGCGGAACACUUUACUGCUGCUCGUUCCACGCUGGUAAUGGAGAAUCCCCCAGCCGCCCCAACGAAUUAAUUCGGGGCUAACGCCGAGACACUCCCCGAUAUCGAGUCACUUCGUUCCACGGGCCAGUAUUCUCACGCCGAGGAAGAAUCAAUGGGAUUCCUCUUUCCUCCACACGACGCACAAAGCACGUGCCAUUCGCCGCAGAAUCCACUUCUCUCUGAAAUUCUUGCCUCGGCGAGCGUCUCCUUUCCUCCAAUGAAAAUUCAGAAGAUUCCAUGGGAAAAUCAAAAAAUCAAAAUCCAAGAGAUGGCUCGAGUGCAGGGUGCCUUCCGAAGCAUCUGUGGAAGCGCGCGCAAAAGAGAUGAGCGUGAUCGGGGCGCGAGGAGAAGAGAGGUUGUGCAGCGCAACAGAGAAGGGGAGAAGCGAGAAAGAGAGGGAAAUUCAAAGAUGGCGCCACGCGUGUGCCUGACAGAGACGAGGAACGGGAGCUAAAGCGAGGCAACCGCCUUCGCUUCUUUCCCCUCUCGCGUUUGGCGAAGAGUGACCGGCCCGAAAAGUCCGAAUCCGAUCGUAGAAUGGCUCAGUAGUGCGCGAGACACAUUUCGUGACGCGUGCUCGUCGUUGGUAUCGAUAUCUUUCGAUGAUUCACGAGCAUUGCGACGAGAGUACGCGGCGACCAAUCCCCGGUUCCGUUACAUCAGCAUCCGACUACGUGGGUCCUCGACGAUUGGCUCUCUCUGUGCUGCGUUCGAGUUCUCUCUCUCUUGCACGCGUUACAGCCAGAAUAGGAGGAAAAAAGAUACUCGCCGCUUGUGUUUCCUCGCGGUGCGGCUUAUUCUCGAACUAGAUACAUACUACUACGCGCAUCGUGCUAUUUGCCGAGGAGCGUGUGCAUUUUCGUUUAACCAGAUUUUCGGUGGAUAACGUGGAGGAAAUACGCGUAGAGAGAUUUUCGACGGCGAGGAGAAACGGGAGGAAGACACGAGCCAGCAGCCGAGCGACAGACAGAGUGAGAGGAAGGGAAGUUAGAGGGAGAGCAGCAGAGUACGGGGUAUUUUGGACGCAGAUCGAUCGGUCGCUCUCCGGUUCGCGCCAUGUGACCGGUCAAAGACCAGUCUGCAUGGGAUAGGAGGUUAGAAACUUAUUCGGUGUCCUCCGAGUGUGUAAUCGCGUGGCUGUCUGUUCGUUCGCGAUGAAUCGAGAAAAUGGGAUCUGUCGAGUGAUGUAGUAGUGUCAGUAGCGCGUGAGCCAGUGAACGAGGUAGCCGUUUUUUUCGUAGAGCGUUUAUCGGACAUUCGCGUAUCGCGGUGGUGGGCUUGGAGGAGCAUGAUCGUGAGGGAAAAGAGAACCGAUUUUACCGCGAAGGAAUGUCGUUGUCUCGGGUCAGAUGUAAAAAUAAAAGGAAGCAGACUUAUGUCUCAAGGCUAUCGGACCACAUAUUGUCUCAAACCAGGGGCGUAAAAUCACGCGGUUGUCUCCCUGCACGCUGUUUAUUUCAUUUCGCCGAUAUCCUCGUAUAAUCGCGCACAUCCAUUAUCAUUAUCUCGUUAGUACAUGAUUUCAUUAUCUGACACGUAUACUGUGUUACUAAAUUCUUUCGAAAAGAAUGUUCCGUAGCAUUUAUUUUUUUCUUGGUUAAGGAUAAUAAUGUUCUUUCUACUGUCCACUGUUUCAUUGUCGUUUAUUAUAUUUUUUUUAUUUACGUCACGAAUAUAUUCGAAAUAAUUAAUUAUCUCGUUGAAAAAUUAACGACGAUUUUAAAAUUUCUUUUCUUCGUUUCUAACAUAUUUUCGUGAUACUUUGUUUUCGGUAAUGGAAGAAUUCCGCGGCAUAGAACAAAGAAAAAGUCGGUACUACGUGAAUUUUUAUGAGAUUCGUUGCGAAAAAGAAAGUAAGAAUAUAAACAAUCGUAUUACUGCAUUUAAUCAUGUAUGAUCUUCAAAAAUAAUUUCUCUUCAAACUUAAUAAAUAAAUUCUCUCUUGUUAAAUUUACAAAUUAGAAAACACGUGGUCUGACACGUGUUUCUGGAACUUUACGAAAGAAUUCUGUAACAUCUUGAAUCGUUGUUACUUUGUUUAGAAAGACACACAUUUUUAUUUCCAUGUUACAUUAUCAAUUCGAUUUUACAAUAUCGAUGGAAAAUUAUUUAAUGAUUUAAUGUGGAGAAUUGUUAUAUAUUAUUUUUUUUAUAUGUAUAAGCGAUUGUACGAGAUUAAAAUAUCAAGGCAAUUUUAGAAGCUAUAUAUACGUAUAUUGCGUGGAUUAAUAGAUAACGCGUGCUUAUCUAGGAAAGUAGUAUUUGACUACCAGAACCUUGUAUUUCAGAUUAACCUCUUUAAAGCAGGAUUUGUUAAGAAGUUUAGGAGAAAAUAUGUGAUUAUUUUUUACUUUUCUAAGAAAAAUAACGCAUGUAUAUUACGUGGAUUACUACUACCUAUUUGAACUAUUGAAGAACUUUGAGAGAUAAUUUUAUACAGAAAUAGAAAUAUUUAUUUUCGAUAAU